rnacentral:rRNA from 1 species
CCUACGGGUGGCAGCAGUCGAGAAUCAUUCACAAUGGGGGAAACCCUGAUGGUGCGACGCCGCGUGGGGGAAUGAAGGUCUUCGGAUUGUAAACCCCUGUCAUGUGGGAGCAAAUUAAAAAGAUAGUACCACAAGAGGAAGAGACGGCUAACUCUGUGCCAGCAGCCGCGGUAAUACAGAGGUCUCAAGCGUUGUUCGGAAUCACUGGGCGUAAAGCGUGCGUAGGCUGUUUCGUAAGUCGUGUGUGAAAGGGGCGGGCUCAACCCGCGGAAGGCACAUGAUACUGCGAGACUAGAGUAAUGGAGGGGGAACCGGAAUUCUCGGUGUAGCAGUGAAAUGCGUAGAUAUCGAGAGGAACACUCGUGGCGAAGGCGGGUUCCUGGACAUUAACUGACGCUGAGGCACGAAGGCCAGGGGAGCGAAAGGGAUUAGAUACCCUGGUAGUC